ensembl:snoRNA
AUGUUUUUGUAGUUCAUAAGCAUAAUGAUUGGGUAUUCACAGUCAUAUGUGAGAUGUGCCAACCUCAACCUCUGUGCUA